AGCCACCCAGGGGCCCCAAUUUUAUUGCAUUUCUAACUGGAUGCUGAGCCAUUUGCCCUAGCCCCGGAAAUGAUGAGUGAAACUCCGACGUGAACUCUGAGCUGGCGCUUGGUUUUUCAAGAAGCCUCUCUGCUGACAAGCCAGGCCUAUCUUCCAUGCCCGGGAUGGGUGAGGUGGCCUCUGUUACAUGGAGUUGGGAUUCACCCCGGGAUGAAAUCAUUCAUGGUCUCGCCUUUGCCUGUAGUCAGCUAAGAGACUCUGGCAAAUGGCUUCCCUCUGGGGACCUCGUUCUCUCUUCUCACCUGUAAGAUCAAGGGUUGACUCAAGAGGACCGGGCUGGUCUUUUGCAAUUCUCACUUCCCGAAUGCUGUGGACUUUUUCUUUUCCCCCCACACCGGUCGUGGUUGUUGGCUCUGAGGGACCUCUGCCUAGACACUCCCUUCUUGAGAUAACGUUCCAGUUGUAAAUCUUCUCCAGGCUCCACUUCAGUCCUCCCAUUUGUAUCCCUCACGUCAUUGUUUUCUCAGUCACAUCUACUCUGGGUUGGUUUGCAAGCCUUCUGGCAAAAUUGAACUCCACUCGGCAUACGCUUAUUGAGGUAUGAGUGGGAGCGGGCAGCUGUGGAUGGCCAAAGCAGGGCCACUGGAAGUAAAGCUGGCAUUGACAAGGGGAAACAGGUGCAGAAGGAAACCUGGUUUUGGGUGACAUUGGUCCCUGGACUGUAGAGAGCUCAAGCCCUGGCUGCAAAUCGUUUGCCUUGAAGAGACAUAAAUGAGAACCACAACUGCCAGAAAAUAAGAUAAACACUACAGAUUGCUCCGGAUGAAUGCUAUGGAGAUGCCGAAGACUGUCCGACAAUUUCUUUUAAAGUCGGAUAUUCAAUUGCGAAAGAUGUUCGAACAAUCUAAUGAUGGAUGUUCAUUAGUUCACUGCUGUCAAGAUGAGUUGCUACUCUGCAUCUCUGAUACUGAUUGUGUUUCUGCAGUCAUGAUUGAGCUGUUGAAGAAAAAACACUCCAAAGAACUCUCUCGACUGUGUCCAAGCCAGCACCAACUUGAAAUAUCAUUGGCUUACGCAGCAGCAUCAAAACCCACAAAGCGAAUAGAUUAGAUCCAUCCCAGAGACUUUUCUCCAGCUGUAAAUGGAUUUGCCCUCUUUAGAGCAGGGAACAGAGUUCCAACACAAUUUUUCUUAUUGGAACAGACUAAGGAAUUUACUUCAAAUGGGGCUGCUGGUUGUCCUGUGGAAGCUGUGUCAGAAUAAAUAUUCAGCUACUCUU